rnacentral:rRNA from 1 species
UACGUAGGGAGCAAGCGUUGUCCGGAAUCAUUGGGCGUAAAGCGCGCGUAGGCGGCCUCAUAAGUCCGUUGUGAAAGUCAAAGGCUCAACCCUUUGAAAGCCGAUGGAUACUGUGAGGCUAGAGUCCGGAAGAGGCGAGUGGAAUUCCUGGUGUAGCGGUGGAAUGCGCAGAUAUCAGGAGGAACACCAAUGGCGAAGGCAGCUCGCUGGGACGGAACUGACGCUGAGGCGCGAAAGCGUGGGGAGCGAACAGG